rnacentral:rRNA from 1 species
CGGAGGGUGCAAGCGUUGUCCGGAUUUAUUGGGUUUAAAGGGUGCGUAGGCGGUCUUUUAAGUCAGUGGUGAAAUCCUGCAGCUCAACUGUAGAACAGCCAUUGAUACUGAAAGACUUGAGUACAGACGAGGUAGGCGGAAUUUAUGGUGUAGCGGUGAAAUGCAUAGAUACCAUAAAGAACCCCUAUUGCGAAGGCAGCUUACUAGGCUGUAACUGACGCUGAGGCACGAAAGCGUGGGGAUCAAACAGGAUUAGAUACCCUGGUAGUCCACGCCGUAAACGAUGAUUACUCGAUGUUCGCGAUAUACAGUGAGCGUCCAAGCGAAAGCGUUAAGUAAUCCACCUGGGAAGUACGAUCGCAAGAUUG